GGAGGAUAAAUUAGGGGAUAUAAAUAACUUAAAGUGGGGAGUGGAAAGUUUUCAUUCUCUAAUGAGCUAACGGUCAUACAGUGGUCAUGCACGACAGCUAAAAAUAGGGACCCUCAAAGAGUAAAAAGAAAAUCAAGAGCUUGUGAUAAGAAGAGGAGGUGACAGCCUGUCCGAAAGGGGAUAAAUGGAUGGAUAAAAUGAGAGAAAAAGCUGGUGAGCGCCAGCAGAAAAUUAAACACUCAAUAAAAAGAAGGAAGGAACAUAACAACUCAAACGGACUCGAGCUCGCAAGCAGCUCAGAGGAAGCUGCCAACAACACAAAUAAAGUUCAAAAUGUGUCCAAGAACCGCAAAUUAAGCAGUCGCACCAACCUCACCCAUCUCAGUCAAAGCAGAAGCUCAACUGAAAUGUUUCUGCAUUGACUUCUCAGCUGAAAUAAAGGACAUUGAUGCUUGCACUGGACACUGGAGAUGAAUGGAGGAUAUUUGAGACCGGGCAGCCCAAGACCAGAUGUGUAUGGAGCGCUGGUGGAGUACGAGUGAGGCAGAUAAAGGAGAAUGAGAGGGAGACCUCUACAGGAUAACUGCACAACUGAGAAACAGAAAGAAAGGAAGAAAAAGAAGAGCAGAGAAUGUCUUCUCAAUUCAUUUCAGUCAAACUAAAUAUGAAUGAGGCUGCAAACAGGAUGCAAAGUUGUCAUUUGAAUUUGACACUAUAUAGAUGUACAUGUACCUAUACAUACAUUUCU